GAUGAACGCUGGCGGCGUGCCUAAUACAUGCAAGUCGAGCGAACGGACGAGAAGCUUGCUGCUCUGAUGUUAGCGGAAGACGGGUGAGUAACACGUGGAUAACCCACCUAUCAGACUGGGAUCACUUCGGGAAACCGGCGAUAAUACCGGAUAAUCUUUUGAAGCGCAUGGGUGAAAAGUGAAAGACGGUCUUGCUGUCACGUAUAGAUGGAUCCGCGCUGCAUUAGCUAGUUGGUAAGGUAACGGCUUACCAAGGCAACGAUGCAUAGCCGACCUGAGAGGGUGAUCGGCCACACUGGAGCGGGGCCACCGACCAGACUCCUACGGGAGGCAGCAGUAGGGAAUCUUCCGCAAUGGGCGAAAGCCUUACGGAGCAACGCCGCGUGAGUGGUGAAGGUCUUCGGAUCGUAAAACUCUGUUAUGAGGGAUGAACAUAUGUGUAAGUAACUGUGCACAGCUUGACGGUACCUAAUCAGAAAGCCACGGCUAACUACGUG
rnacentral:rRNA from 1 species